AGAGCCGGCCAUAGGGAGAUGGGAAAUACCCGUUCCCAUACCGAACACGGAAGUUAAACCAUCUCCUGUUGCGGUGAGUAGUAGGAUCCGCGAGGACCUGCGAAAACCGCAAGCCGGCGCCA
rnacentral:rRNA from 1 species